rnacentral:tRNA from 1 species
GCCGCCUUAGCUUAAUCGGUUAGAGCACUGGCUUCAUAAGCCAUAGGUUGUCGGUUCGAGUCCGACAGGCGGCAUCA